CCUGCAAUAGGUCCUUCAUUGCAGGCUCUCCUUAACCUUUUCACACUGGCCAACAUUUAUACACGAUUGCUAGAAUAUGCAUUCAUACCCAUCAAUUGUGUAUACACAAUUUAGCAUAACUGCAAAUUAAAUUAAUUUAUUACAAACACAUUUUGUUUUCCAUUUGUGACAUUAUUACAGUCCAUAAGCUUCAAAGAGCUGAAUGCAGAGCUAUAAACUCUUUGUGUUUAACACUCCUCGAUGCAGCUCCUUUUCCUUGCGUGCAGGCCCGGUGGGCCACAAUGGCCAUGGGCCAAGGACGUCAGGGGAGGUCAUAGGACGUCCCUGGCCAGUCCAUGCAGGGCUGGCACUAUCCGAGCACCAGCCCUGCAGUAGUCAAUGAUGGGCCGGUGGGGAGCACCCUCACUCACACAUCACUCUCACACACACACCUUCCCCACACACAGCUCCCUCACACACAUUUCACCCCUCACACUCACAGCAUCUGUCACACACACUGCACCCCUCACACACACACACAUACUGCACCCCUCACAUACACACUGCACCACACACACACACAAUAUUUCCAAACACACAUAUAUAUAUACACACACUUUAGCACCUCUCACACACAUACUGCAUCCCCUAUGCACACACUCUCUACAGCCCCUAGCCACACAUGCAUUACAUUACACCACAAAUACAACACAACUAAAUCUGACCUUAUUACACAAUACCACACCACAAUCAGCUCACUCUACACACACGCAACCCCACAAGCAGGCUCCAAACAUAUGCACAAUACUCUUACCUUGUCCUUUUGUCUCCUGGUACCCCAUCUAUAGAGACACCAGAGACAAGUUGCAAGGAAACAAGCAUGUUAAGUUUGCUUGCACUGUGCAGAACGCAUACAUGGCCUUUUUCUCAUGCUAGAGCUCUUCAGUAGAGCUCUGCGCAUGGUCUGCCCUGGAAGAGCAUUG